rnacentral:lncRNA from 1 species
GUCUCACAUUUCUGCUCCCAACACUUCACACUUCUCCUCCAUCUUGCACCAGCGAAUGCAAAGAGCAAAGGGGACUUGUUUGAAUAUUCUGCCAAGACUUCAAGGUAAAUCCAGCCUCUAAAUCCUCCAUCUUCUCCAUGCUUCCACCUGCAAUUAUUGAAGGAACAACAAAUUUUUAAAUCUUUUCCACCAUUCCAGUUCAGUUGAUCCAUCCAACACUGAAGAAGGGUGAAGGAACCCUCAUUCAUUACUCUGACUCAACCAAAAAAAAAAACUUCAAGAGAUAUUCCACAACACGUUCAAUUCCAACAACAACCCAAUUGUUUGAAAGCAUUCAAGGUAAUUUGCUAUCUCAAGUAUUCAAUUCAGUUCGCAUCCAUAUUUAGCAUAAUCACAUUUCAUCAUCAUCAAAUAGCCAAGUUAUGUCAUACAAUAGGAAGAUUAUAAACUUCACAAACAGGCUGCACUCUAGAACAACAAACUAUGAGAGUUUUUCCCAAACCUUACCAACUGAACAUCAACCGACAUAAGGGAGUAGGACUUAGCUUUAUGAAAUAGGACCGAUUGCCGUUCGGUUGAACCAAGACCGAGGCGACGACAACAAAACCUCCGCUGAAUAACAGGGCGGCCACGUCGCGCUAACCGGCAACUCACAGACGAUGGCCCGACAGGG